AAUUAGAUACCCCACUAUGCCUAGCCGUAAACUUUUACCUACAACCCAAUCGCCCGGGAACUACGAGCCAAGCUUAAAACCCAAAGGACUUGACGGUACCCCACAUCCCCCUAGAGGAGCCUGUCCUAUAAUCGAUAAUCCACGUUUAACCUCACCACUUCUAGCCAACCAGCCUGUAUACCUCCGUCGUCAGCUUACCACAUGAGCGUCAAUUAGUGAGCCUAAUGUCAUUUCAUCAAUACGUCAGGUCAAGGUGCAGCAAAUGAAGAGGGAAGAGAUGGGCUACACUUUCUACAUUAGAAGAUACGAAAAACUACCUAUGAAACCUAGUUAGAAGGCGGAUUUAGCAGUAAGAAGGAAUCAGAGUGUCCUUUUUAACCUGGCACUGGGGUGUGUACACACCGCCCGGUCA
rnacentral:rRNA from 1 species